rnacentral:lncRNA from 1 species
GCAAACAAACAGGCUGUUUCAGCCUGCUUCCAGACAAUUCAGACAAUGUAGAACAACUGGAGAUUCUUGGCACAAUCCCUCUCAAGAUUAUCACCCAUUUCUGUUUUUCCUAUAAACACGUUAUGAAAAUGCUGGAUGUGUACAACCGCUGUUGAGUAGCACUCUACUACAUGAGUAGACACAGUUCAGGAUGUUUACCCAGCCCCUGCUGACCCUGUGACAUCUGGCCACUGCUUAAUUGAACCUCACCAAGUACAACCUUUGGGCAAUUAUUCUUUCAGCCCUUCCUUCCUUCUCAUUCUUCUACUUCCUUUCAAGCUCUGAGAGGGAGAGCCGUGGCCAGUCAGUACCUCCCUGAAGAUUUUCACCUGCUAGUGCCCAGCAUCACUCAUGACACUAUAACCACUUCCCAUAGAAGUAAUAAAGAAGAAUAAUACUGACUGUGUCCAGUCCUGGAUGCAAGUUCCUUGGUUGCUUCUGGUUGGCUUCAGGUCACCAGUCUUCACAGCUAGCCCCAAAAGCAGAACCAACCACAGGAGCAACUCAUUCUGCAAGUUAAGGACCACAGAAGACAGAUGGGAGCAAUAUAUUAAGAAAGUUGCUGCGCCUUCUCUUCUAUUCCUGCGCAGCUUCUGUGUCCAUCAAAGUGAGCUUUGGUAUUUUGAACAUUUUCUGAGCACUCCCA